GGCCGGGUGGCGGGGCUUGCCCUCUUUGAGCCAGCGCUCCAGAAUGGGAAGGCCGAAUGCGGCUGUUUUUCCCGUGCCGGUCUGGGCCUGGCCA
rnacentral:tRNA from 1 species